rnacentral:lncRNA from 1 species
AGUGUCUGUACUGUUGGCAGGAGUGACCAGAAUAAAAACAGCAACACCAGACAUAGGGGAGGAAAAAAAGCAAAAGUGAUCCAUUGAACCAGAGACUUUGCCCUCUCCUAAUUACAUCGCGUCCCAUAUCUUUUUUUCACUUUUUUCACCACUCCUGGAGACUUCAGGCUAGUGGUAAUUAUCCAGAAGAGAAUAAAACCAGCUGAUCGGGAGAGGGGUGGUGCAUUUUGGAGCGAGAUGGCUAACAGAAACAUUCUGUUGCUCGUCUGUGGACUCUUCAUCAUAGCACUGAUUCAGCCCUCUCUUCAAGGAGGUGUGUAUUUGCCAGCUGGUGCUGGCCUCGGACAAGCAGGAACUGGACUAGGAACUGGAUACUUUCCAGGGGCUGCUGGAGGAGUCCCUGCGGGCUAUAAACCAGCUAAAGCUGCAGUGGGAGGUUAUGGAGGAGCAGGCCAUGGUGUAGGCCCGGGUGGUUUGGUGCCAGGAGGUGUUGGGGCUGGAGGCCUGGGUGUUGGAGGACUGCCAGCAGGUAUGAACACACACACACAUCUUGCAGACACUUGUUUAGCAGACUCCACUAGUGUACAGCUGCCUUUAGUUACUCCUGUUAUUAACCAUGUUUAGGCCCUUAAUAUCAUUCCAAUCAAGAACACAUUAAACUUUUCACUCAAGACAAUUUUAUCAUCGUUUUACCCAACAGGAC